rnacentral:rRNA from 1 species
UACGAAGGGGGCUAGCGUUGUUCGGAAUUACUGGGCGUAAAGGGCGCGUAGGCGGCCAUUCAAGUUAGAUGUGAAAGCCCUGGGCUCAACCUAGGAAUUGCAUUUGAUACUGUUUGGCUUGAGUUCGGGAGAGGUGAGUGGAAUUCCCAGUGUAGAGGUGAAAUUCGUAGAUAUUGGGAAGAACACCAGUGGCGAAGGCGGCUCACUGGCCCGUAACUGACGCUGAGGUGCGAAGGCGUGGGGAGCAAACAGG